UACAGAGGGGGCAAGCGUUGUUCGGAAUUACUGGGCGUAAAGGGCGCGUAGGCGGCCGCCUAAGUCAGACGUGAAAUCCCUCGGCUCAACCGGGGAACUGCGUCUGAUACUGGGUGGCUUGAAUCCGGGAGAGGGAGGCGGAAUUCCAGGUGUAGCGGUGAAAUGCGUAGAUAUCUGGAGGAACACCGGUGGCGAAGGCGGCAUCCUGGACCGGCAUUGACGCUGAGGCGCGAAAGCCAGGGGAGCAAACGGG
rnacentral:rRNA from 1 species